rnacentral:rRNA from 1 species
GACGUAGGGUGCGAGCGUUUGUCCGGAUUUAUUGGGCGUAAAGAGCUCGUAGGCGGUUUGUCGCGUCUGCCGUGAAAGUCCGGGGCUCAACUCCGGAUCUGCGGUGGGUACGGGCAGACUAGAGUGAUGUAGGGGGAGACUGGAAUUCCUGGUGUAGCGGUGAAAUGCGCAGAUAUCAGGAGGAACACCGAUGGCGAAGGCAGGUCUCUGGGCAUUAACUGACGCUGAGGAGCGAAAGCAUGGGGAGCGAACAGG